rnacentral:rRNA from 1 species
UACAGAGGGUGCGAGCGUUAAUCGGAAUUACUGGGCGUAAGCGUGCGUAGACGGCUAUCUAAGUCGGGUGUGAAAGCCCCGGGCUCAAUCUGGGAAUUGCAUUCGAGACUGAAUAGCUAGGGUACGGUAGAGGGAAGUGGAAUUUCCGGUGUAAGCGGUGAAAUGCGUAGAUAUCAAGUGGAACACCAGGUGGCGAAGGCGAGUCCCUGGACAACUCCUGACACUGAGGCACGAAAGCGUGGGGAGCAAACAGG